rnacentral:rRNA from 1 species
GAUUAAGCCAUGCAUGUCUAAGUAUAAAUAGUAUACAGUGAAACUGCGAAUGGCUCAUUAAAACAGUUAUAGUUUAUUUGAUAAUUGAAAAUUACAUGGAUAACCGUGGUAAUUCUAGAGCUAAUACAUGCUGUCAAGCCCGACUUUUUGAAGGGUUGUAUUUAUUAGACUUAAGCCAAUAUUCCUCACGGUCUAUUGCGGUGAUUCAUAAUAACUGAUCGAAUCUCAUAUGUGAGAUAAAUCAUUCAAGUUUCUGCCCUAUCAGCUUUCGAUGGUAGUGUAUUGGACUACCAUGGCAGUAACGGGUAACGAAGAAUUAGGGUUCGAUUUCGGAGAGGGAGCAUGAGAAACGGCUACCACAUCUAAGGAAGGCAGCAGGCGCGUAAAUUACCCAAUCCUGACUCAGGGAGGUAGUGACAAGAAAUAGCAAACCGGGAGCCUCACGGUUUCACGGUAUUGCAAUGAGAACAAUUUAAAACUCUUAGCGAGGAACAAGUGGAGGACAAGUCUGGUGCCAGCACCCGCGGUAAUUCCAGCUCCACUAGCGUAUAUUAAAGUUGUUGCAGUUAAAAAGCUCGUAGUUGAACUUCUGUAUGGGGCUAGUUCUGACUUCUGUCUGGCUAGUCCCAUGCAUCCGCUUGUAAGACCUGGAGGGCAUUUAUUUGUCGCCAGGAGGAACAGGCUUUUUACUUUGAAAAAAUUAGAGUGUUUAAGGCAGGCUAUCGCCCGCAUAUAUUAGCAUGGAAUAAUAGAAUAGGACACUUUUCCAUUUCGUUGGUUAUUGGAAUCGUGUAAUGAUUAAUAGGGACAGUUGUGGGCAUUUGUAUUUAAUUGUCAGAGGUGAAAUUCUUGGAUUUAUUAAAGACAAACUAACGCGAAAGCAUUUGCCAAGGAUGUUUUCAUUAAUCAAGAACGAAAGUUAGGGGAUCAAAGACGAUCAGAUACCGUCCUAGUCUUAACUAUAAACUAUUCCGACUCAAUGUUUGGCUGGCUUCUUUAACCAGCUGAGCGUUGUAUGAGAAAUCAAAGUCUUUAGGUUCUGGGGGGAGUAUGGUUGCAAAGCUGAAACUUAAAGGAAUUGACGGAAGAGCACAACCAGGAGUGGAUUCUGCGGCUUAAUUUGACUCAACACGGGGAAACUUACCAGGUUAAAACAAUAGUGGGAUUGACAGCUUGAGAGCGCUUUCUUGAUUGGUUGGGUGGUGGUGCAUGGCCGUUCUUAGUUGGUGGAGUGAUUUGUCUGCUUAAUUGCGUUAACGAACGAGACCUUAACCUGCUUACUAGACUGGCGAUGAACAAUCGUCAGCUCUUCUUAGAGGGACUUUGGUUGUUUUAACUCCAAGGAAGUUUGAGGCAAUAACAGGUCUGUGAUGCCCUUAGAUAUCCUGGGCCGCACGCGUCAUACAAUGACUAGUUCAGAAAGUUUCAUCCUGACCCGGAAGGGGCUGGGUAAUCUUGUCAGUACUAGUCGUAUUAGGGAUAGAUCUUUGCAAUUAUAGAUCUUGAACGAGGAAUUCCUAGUAAGUGCGGUUCAUCAGACCGUACUGAUUACGUCCCUGCUCUUUGUACACACCGCCCGUCGCUUCUACCGAGUGAGUGGUCCGGUGAGAUACUUGGAUCAACGGGGCAACCCGAUUUGAGAAGAUUAUCAAACCUAUCCACUUCGAGGAAGAAGAAGUCGUAACAAGGUUUCCGUAGGUGAACCUGCGGAAGGAUCAUUGACACAACAAUCAAUACACCUAAACCUUUGUUCUGUAUGGCUGUCAGAUUUAUCUGGCAGUCAUAUUUUUACAAACCUUCUUAACAGAAGAAAAAACCAUAAACAAGUUAAAAACAAAAAAACCAAAAAUACUCAACAAUGGAUAUCUUGGUUCCCAUAUCGAUGAAGAACGCAGCGAAAUGCGAUAUGUAAUGCGAAUUGCAAAAUCCACGAGUCAUCAAAUCUUUGAACGCAACUGGCGUUGGCUACCUGCCAACAUAUUUGUAUCAGUGUGUAAGGAAAUCACAAAUCUGAAUGUGGUUGAGCGUAACAGCUCUCCCAUUAAACACGAGGGGUGGAGGACAACUCUGCCAAACGAAGUAGUCGCUAGCUAUCUAGUGAUCUCGUUUGAGCGCUAGUAGUCUUCAGAAACACCUUUAGAACAAGCUCUCUCCAUCCAUACCUGAUAUAAGUAAGACCACCCGCUGAACUUAAGCAUAUCAGUAAGCG